rnacentral:lncRNA from 1 species
CUGCCAUGAAUACAAGACGAAGAGCUCUGCAGCUACUGGCUGCACAAAGAGGGACUGGGGCGCAGGGGACGCAGACCCCCGGGUUGGGGGAGGCGAGAGAGCCAGCGGGGCACAUUACGUGGAAGGAGCCAGUGGGACCGUGGGAGUCCUCUGGUCUCCUGUUGCACAAAGGAGCGCCAGAGUGAAUACGCGCAGUGCUCCUGAACCAACAGGUCAGAUCACCUCCCAAGAGGUGCUCCACCAAGACACCCCUGAAGAACUGGGGAGCAGAGAACUACUGGAAAAGGAUCUUCUGGACAUAAUUCCCUUCAGAGUCUCAGAGGAAGCUUAGAUUAGACACUGAACCACAGCAGGGACAAUUGAGAAAGUUGUGUAAUAAUGGAAUGAAGCAUUCUACAUGUUUUUCAUUUGCAAGAAGGCUCUCACCAGAUGCCAGGCCCUCAAUCUUGGA